rnacentral:rRNA from 1 species
ACUUUACAAUGCCGGCAACGGCGAUAAGGGAACCUCGAGUGCCAGGUUACAAAUCUGGCUGUCGUGAUGCCUAAAAAGCAUUGCAUAGCAAGGGCCGGGCAAGACCGGUGCCAGCCGCCGCGGUAACACCGGCGGCUCGAGUGGUAACCGUUAUUAUUGGGUCUAAAGGGUCUGUAGCCGGCCGGAUAAGUCUCUUGAGAAAUCCAGCAGCUCAACUGUUGGGCUUUCAGGAGAUACUGUCUCGGCUCGAGGCCGGGAGAGGUGAGAGGUACUUCAGGGGUAGGGGUGAAAUCUUGUAAUCCUUGAAGGACCACCAGUGGCGAAGGCGUCUCACCAGAACGGACCUGACGGCAAGGGACGAAAGCUAGGGGCACGAACCGG